rnacentral:rRNA from 1 species
UACGGAGGGAGCUAGCGUUAUUCGGAAUUACUGGGCGUAAAGCGCACGUAGGCGGCUUUGUAAGUUAGAGGUGAAAGCCUGGAGCUCAACUCCAGAAUUGCCUUUAAGACUGCAUCGCUUGAAUCCAGGAGAGGUGAGUGGAAUUCCGAGUGUAGAGGUGAAAUUCGUAGAUAUUCGGAAGAACACCAGUGGCGAAGGCGGCUCACUGGACUGGUAUUGACGCUGAGGUGCGAAAGCGUGGGGAGCAAAAGGG